rnacentral:tRNA from 1 species
AGGGAUUUAGCUCAGCGGUAGAGCGCUUGCCUAGCGAGCACAAGGCCCUGGGUUCGGUCCCCAGCUCUG